GAUGAACGCUGGCGGCGUGCUUAACACAUGCAAGUCGAACGGGAUCCAAGGGGUGCUUGCACUUUUUGGUGAGAGUGGCGAACGGGUGAGUAACACGUGAGUAACCUGUCCUUUUCUUUGGGAUAAGCAUUCGAAAGGGUGUUUAAUACCUUAUGUUCUGUCUGCCUCGCAUGGGGUGGGUGGGAAAGGCUUUGGCCGGAUUUGGGUGGGCUCGCGGUCUAUCAGCUUGUUGGUGGGGUGAUGGCUUACCAAGGCUUUGACGGGUAGCCGGCCUGAGAGGGUGGUCGGUCACAUUGGGACUGAGAUACGGCCCAGACUCCUGCGGGAGGCAGAAGUGGGGGAUAUUGCACAAUGGGCGAAAGCCUGAUGCAGCGACGCCGCGUGGGGGAUGAAGGCCUUCGGGUUGUAAACUUCUUUUGCUCUGAACAAGGCAUGCCAGUGGGUGUGUUGAGUGUAGGGGUUGAUUAGCGCCGGCUAACUACGUG
rnacentral:rRNA from 1 species